rnacentral:rRNA from 1 species
UACGGAGGGUGCAAACGUUGCUCGGAAUCAUUGGGCGUAAAGCGCACGUAGGCGGACUGUUAAGUCGGAUGUGAAAUCCCUCAGCUUAACUGAGGAAGUGCACUCGAAACUGGCAGUCUUGAGUAUGGAAGAGGGUCGCGGAAUUCCCGGUGUAGAGGUGAAAUUCGUAGAUAUCGGGAGGAACACCAGUGGCGAAGGCGGCGAUCUGGGAAGAUACUGACGCUGAGGUGCGAAAGCGUGGGGAGCAAACAGG